AGUUUGCGGGGAGCGUGGGCGAGGGUGUCAGCUCGAUCACUUCUUCGCUGUUGACUCUCAGCAAAGGGCUCGGUUGACGCGUUCUGCAAUCCCAACCGUGCAAGCGAGAAAUAGAGAGAGUGUAGCAAGGGAGAAAGAGAGGGAGAGAGAGUCCGCGAAUCGAAUCGCGGACGCAGUCGAUAGCGAGGGAACGAUUGGGUAUAGCAAAAACGAAUUUACAUUUCUAUUGCUACUGUAAUCAUUACAAAGCGUGAAUGUGUAUGUGUGUGUGUAGGAUAAACUGAUCACGGAAGCGAUUAGGUCGUGUUGGCAUCAGAUCUGGUGUGAUUUCUCAGCUGAUUGCUGCUCCGGUUUCAUCACACAGCCGGUUGUUCCUUGAACUUAGGUUUAACUUAACUGACCAUCGGCUACGCAGUUAAACAGAGUUUAGGGUUUACCGACAUCAAUGAAACCGGCCGUAACAGGUUUGUCAAACAUUACUCACUCGGAUCACCAUAAAGUGGGAUAGCUGUACAAGAAAUGUCGCAAUAACACACACUGCGAGGACACAAAAAAAAGAGAGAAAACAGAAAACAAAUCCAACAAGACAUGAACUUACCCGGCAAGCUCGCGCUGCAAAUCCUGCAUGACUGCGUGACACUGAGCGUAGUGGCGGGCUUGCGCUUCCACGAACUCGUGCAGACAUCGCA